GCCCGGGUGGCUUAGUCGGUUAAGCGUCUGACUUUGGCUCAGGUCAUGACCUCACGGUUUGUGAGUUCGAGCUCCGCGUCGGGCU
rnacentral:tRNA from 1 species